rnacentral:pre_miRNA from 1 species
UUAACUCAAAUAUGUAUGGAAUUGGAACGUUUGCCUACGUUUGCCGCUAGGGGCGUUGUUCCAGCUCCAUAAGUUAACUUU